rnacentral:lncRNA from 1 species
CGGGACACACUGGUACUCCCCGGGACACACUGGCACUCCCUGGGGCACAUUGGCACUCCCUAUGACACAGUGGGACUCCCUGGAACACUUUUUUUAUUAAAGGAAUUAUUUUUCUCUAUCCUUUUCGCUACUGACCUAUCUAUCUAUCUAUCUAUCUAUCUAUCUAUCUAUCUAUCUAUAUCUAUCUAUCUAUCUAUCUAUCUACCAAUCAGCAUUAACCACCCAUUAAGGUACGGUAACUACCAUUAUUGUAGUCUGGGAAGUAAUUCGGCUAUAUUUCUCCAUGUAAGGUUUUCUGAGUUAAAGGUGGAGUUAAUUUGAGAAGUAUUAUAUUAUUCUUAGAUAAAAAUAAAUGUGUUGGUAAUAUUAAAGUAUUUUUAAUUAUAUAAUUAAGUAAAUCAGUAAUGUUGGCAGCCCUGAUUCGUCAACCCAGGACUCUUUCCGAAGCUGAACAAUUAAGAGUACUGAACAGUAUUCUUGUUUAUAUUAAUUUUUACGUAAUUUUAUCUUUAUUGUUUCUUUUCUACACUACGAUAUAAAUUAAUUUACCCUAAAUUUUGUAUUAAAAUUUGCAUGUACGAUUAAGAAUGGGUUUAUUUUUUAAUUUUUCCUCGUUCGGAUUUGUUUUUUGGCGGGACGAAGGCGAGACAGGUGAUUGGUACGUCACUUGUGAAGCUCCAGGUCAGUGCUAAUAGAGACGUAAGGGAAGGAGGUGCUGUCGGUCGUCUCUCUCACUGGACAGUCUUGGUUCUGAACCUUGUCAAGGAGAGGUGUGCACUCUGCUGUACCACACAUCUUGCCUCACUUGUACUGCUGUACUAGGCUUCUCUCCUCCAAUAUCAGGAUGGCAAGUGAUUCACAACACAACUGAAGGAAGCAGGUGAUACAGCCCAGAACCAGCCUUCCACCCCUCCUCUCUACCUCAGAUAUGUUCUGAACACUGGAGUGCCGUGCUGCCCUAGACUGUGCUUACUGGCCACUGCCCUGUACUUGCUUGCUGCUGCUGCCCUGGACGGCUCUGCUCUGUGCUUGCUGGCUGCUGCCCUGGACGGCUCUGCUGUGUGCUUGCUGGCUGCU